AGCAAGAAUCACGAAUCACGGCACUGGAGUCAAUUUUAUUCUGUUAGGUGAUGGAACCACUACUGUUUUUCAAAAGGGAAAUGAACAGUGUACCUGAGAUAGCUUCCAAAAUAAGCAACAAUGUUUGGGUGUUUGCAGUCUUUCAUCAUUAUGAUCUCUUGCUGGACAACGGCAAAGUCUUCUCCUAGGACACAAAGCAAGCACAUCGGACGAUCAAUAGAAACUGGUGAACGUUACGUGGCAAAGAGGCUUGCAGGUACAAUCCAAGUGAUGACCCUAAGAUGGGCGAGCAUCCUGACCAUCCAGAUUGUCGCAUUAAAAAUAAAGUGCUGCAGGAGAGAU